rnacentral:rRNA from 1 species
AUAACGGUCCUAAGGUAGCGAAAUUCCUUGUCAGGUAAGUUCUGACCCGCACGAAAGGCGUAAUGAUUUGGACACUGUCUCGACAAUGUACUCGGCGAAAUUGUAGUACUAGUGAAGAUGCUAGUUACCUGCGACAAGACAGAAAGACCCCAUGGAGCUUUACUGUAGCUUGAUACUGGGUUUUGAUAAUUUAUGUACAGGAUAGGUGGGAUACUAAGAAGCAUUUGCGCCAGCAGAUGUGGAGUAGACGUUGGGAUACCACCCUUAAGUUAUUGAAAUUCUAACCAUUCGUCGUAAACCGGCGAGGGGACAAUGUCAGGCGGGCAGUUUGACUGGGGCGGUCGCCUCCAAAAGAGUAACGGAGGCGCGCAAAGGUUUCCUCAGCACGGACAGAAAUCGUGCGAAAGAGUGCAAAGGCAGAAGGAAGCUUAACUGAGAGACUGACAAGUCGACCAGAUACGAAAGUAGGUCUUAGUGAUCCGGCGGUAGUGAGUGGAAAUGCCGUCGCUCAACGGACAAAAGUUACCCUGGGGAUAACAGGCUUAUCUCCCCCAAGAGUUCACAUCGACGGGGAGGUUUGGCACCUCGAUGUCGGCUCAUCACAUCCUGGAGCGGAAGUACGUUCCAAGGGUUGGGCUGUUCGCCCAUUAAAGUGGUACGCGAGCUGGGUUCAGAACGUCGUGAGACAGUUCGGUCCUUAUCUGUCGCAGGCGGAGGAUAUUUGAAGGGAGUUGGCCCUAGUACGAGAGGACCAGGCUGAACGAACCUCUGGUGCACCAGUUGUCAUACCAAUGGCACAGCUGGGUAGCUAAGUUUGGAAGGGAUAAACGCUGAAAGCAUCUAAGUGUGAAGCCCACCCUAAGAUAAGAUAUCCCAUACCAUAAGGUAGUAAGAUUCCAUGUAGACGACAUGGUGAUAGGUUGGAGGUGUAAGUGCAGUAAUGCAUUAAGCUGACCAAUACUAAUAAAUCGAGGGCUUAACCAC